rnacentral:rRNA from 1 species
UGUCUUAAGCAUGCAAGUUGAGGGGCGGCAAGGAGCAGCGAUGUUCCAUAGAGCGGCGGACUGGUGAGUAACGCGUGGAUGAUCUGCCUAUAGGUUGGGGAUAGCCUUUAGAAAUAGAGAGUAAUACCGAAUACGGUUGCUGCGGUAAGCGUGGUAAAGCCAGGAGCUACGGCUCUGCCUGAGAUGAGUCCGCGUCCCAUUAGCUAGAUGGCGGGGUAAAGGCCCACCAUGGCUGUGAUGGGUAGCCGGCCUGAGAGGGUGAACGCGCCACAUUUGGGACUGAGAUACGGCCCAGACUUCUACGGGAGGCAGCAGCAAAGAAUCUUCCGCAAUGGACGAAAGUCUGACGGAGCGACGCCGCGUGAGCGAUGAAGGCCGCAAGGUUGUAAAGCUCUUUUCGGGGGGGAAGAAUAAUGCCCGGCAGGGAAUCGCCGGCCGGAUGACAUCAACCCCGGAAUAAGGUCCGGGCUAACUACGUNNCAGCAGCCGCGGUAACACGNAGGGA